CGGUAAUACGUAGGUGGCAAGCGUUAUCCGGAAUUAUUGGGCGUAAAGCGCGCGCAGGUGGUUUCUUAAGUCUGAUGUGAAAGCCCACGGCUCAACCGUGGAGGGUCAUUGGAAACUGGGAGACUUGAGUGCAGAAGAGGAAAGUGGAAUUCCAUGUGUAGCGGUGAAAUGCGUAGAGAUAUGGAGGAACACCAGUGGCGAAGGCGACUUUCUGGUCUGUAACUGACACUGAGGCGCGAAAGCGUGGGGAGCAAACAGGAUU
rnacentral:rRNA from 2 species